UUGGAGCCAGUGGCAGACUGAGGUUAACUACUUUCCAUUUAAUUCAGCUUUGGGAUCUGUCAUGUGUUUACUUGUUGUGGUCCUGCUAGUCUUGGUGAUUUUGUGUUUGUGCAUGAGGAAGAUUAGAGCUGAAGCAUAUAAGAUUCUAAAGUAUAUCUUUUCUCCCUCCCCUUGAAUGAGGAAUUCUACACUGAAUUUUACUUAAGCUGCUUUGGUGCUUUAUUUGAUCUGUCUGUGGUAUAGGUGAGGGGCCUAAAUUUUGUACCGUUUCACAUAGAGGACCAGAAUCUACAAUUGGCUGUGACUUGUGACACAUGUUCGCAUUAUUGUUAUGCUUUCAUUUGGUGAUCUCCAAUUGGUGGUGACUUCUACUGUGUGGUAGUUCUUCAUAGCAUGGCUCCUCGAGAUUUGAUUAUUCUAUCUCUAUUUUAUUCUAUCUUUCUCAUGAUUGUAUAUUAUAUCUCAUUGGUGGUUUUGGUUGCUUUUUUGUUUCCGAUGUUUUCUGUUCUUGAUUUCUUAAACCUAAUAAGCUGC
rnacentral:lncRNA from 1 species